CAUACACAGCAUGGAAACUCCAAAUGCUCUCCUGUUUAUUCCUGAAGUUUUGCUGAAUACAGGUACAAAAUAUCACAGAAAACUCCUGACCGAAUUCUGUUGGAACUUUCUGUAGCUGCUACACACAACAUCAAGUAAGUAAUCAUAAUUACCAGUUUUUAAUGAUUACAGCAACAACAAAAGAAAUCCUGAAGAGUUUGGUAAAUCUUUGAAAAUUCUACACUAUUUUUCUCCCUCUCAGUUUUGUCACUGAAGAACCGUUUAUGAUGAACAUUGCAAUUCCACCAGUUCUUCUUGGCUGCUACUACCCAUCAUUUCACACAGAUCUGGUUACACACGCACAAAAAAGUCAUCAAUGUAUUGGAAGAAGACAAAGAGAGAGACUGUUCCUGUUUAUGCAGAACUUCUGGAGAUGCAAUACAGAAACCUUCACAGCAAGACCUAUGAUCCAAUACACUCGCUUGAAAUUUCUGGCAAUGUCAUGGUUAGUGACUCUCCUUCUGAUACCUUUUCUAGUAGCUUCUGACUUAGCUUGCAGUAAUGCCUGUGAACUGACUUUGGUGAGAUGUGGAUAAAAAGCUCAUAAUACACUUAACCAACAGCAAAGUUUCAUGGGGGAAAAACCCUUUGUUGUCUUACUUUCCCCCCCCCUACAGCUUUUUGAGAUGAAAUUAUGAGUUGGAAGUAGAGGAUCCAAUGAAACUAAAGACUGAGGCUUUUAUUCACAGCUUGGUGGCACAGAGAUCGAUUUGGCCCUCUUGGCCUUCAUAGGGAAUGUGGAGAAAGUCUGGAAAAUAGCAAGUCUUCAUUGGUGCUGAACAGCAUAAGCUGAGGGAAAGGCUGUGAGCUACAGCAAGCUCAAACUUAAAAGAUUACUGUGCCUCUACUUUAUUGGCAUUGUCUGCCCCAGGAAGGCAGUGAAUGAGGGCAAAUGUUUGCACAUUCAUUCCUCACUGCAGAGUGUUUUGUAUUCCUAUUCUGUGCCUGGAGCUCUCUCAUACUCAAGAUUAAAAUGCUGCUGACUCUCCUUUUCUGAUGUUUUUUUCUGCUUGGGCUCUUAAAAGCACUGGUUAAAAGGGCUUUCUUCCCGGUCACAUAGGUUAGUUUCUAUUUUAAGAAAAAAAUGAUUGCAGGGUGAUCUCGAGUUCCAAGUCUCCAAUAAAGCUCUAUUCGGUUCCCACAGUUAGUCCUGCAGAGCUGAGAGGAUCUCUCAGUCAUGCACCACACUAUUGCAUAAGUCACAGAAUCAUUGCAGAAUCACAGAAUGAGCUGAGUUGGAAGGAAAGUUACAGAUCAUCUAUUUCCAACCCCCUGCCAUGGGCAGGGACACAUCCCACUUGGCUAGGUUCAAAGUCCGAUCCAACAUGUCCUUGGACAUUUCCAGGGAUGGGACAUCCACAGUUUCUCCAAACAUCUUAUUGCCAUACCUCAACACCCUCCAGUGUUCACUGGAGUUGAAUGACACUAGCAGACACUUAAACUUCAUCCAAUCCCUCAUGCUGAAUGAGAGAGAUUGCUAACCAAUCAAAACACCUUUUGAAGUGUACAAGUAUUUAUUUGGUUAAAAACUAUUUUGACGAAGAUUUUCUAUCUUCACAAAUAAUUUAAGCUUUAGCUUUUAGUCUUGCUAGUACCAUUUUAUUUUAUUUUAUUUUAUUUUUAAUUUUAAUUUUUGAGUACUAACCUUUUUGAAACAAGAAUUUGGUUAUUCCCAGGGCUUACAAGGUCUUUGGCUGGGUAUAAAAUUUUUAGAGUGACAGAGACAGAAAGGCAUUUGGAUGUCUUUGCUAACAUAUGUUCACUUACAGUGUUUUUUGUGUCUGUUAAUGAAAGGGGAGUGUGCCAGUUUAGAUAACUGAGGGAGUUCAAACAGGCUGAGGUUAAUGUAGCCAUACAUUACAUGCAAACAUACAACUCAACUGAAUUGAUAAUUAGAUCUUUUAUAGAAAUUCCAUGAUUUUUGAAGUAUGAUUCUGCUUAAUUAUAAAACAUACAUCAAAGAAAUAUUAGCUCACUGUUUUUCUAAGUGCUGUUAAGUAGACCAGAAAAGAAUGAGAGAGAAAAAGUAAUAAAGCUUGUCUUCAAUAAAUUUCAGUAUUUUCUGAGUUCCAUAUGCAGCUCAAUACAAUUCCUUCUUCCUCGAUAACUAGAGAAUUACAAAUAGAAUCAAAUUCCUGGAGCUCUGGUGUAAUGACAUGUUGGGAGAAGGGAGUUCAGAGACCUGUCUUCUGUGUGAAAUGUGAAUUUGAAAUGCUUCAGUGGGUGUGGGAAGAAUACAGAUAUGAAGUUGAUUUUCAGCUCUUUUGCAGACCAACAGUGCAAGUGAUGUAGGUUCAAGAUAUCCUGGAUAUACAGCACUUUAUAAUAACUGCAGUGGUUUGUGCAGACUAAAAGUAAUAUCUAGGAAAACACAGUCCUCUCUAUCUGGAAGAAAUGUCUAGGUGAGAAAAAACGAUAUGGGUGAGCGAAUCCAAAUAUGCAUCUACCUGAUAUAGAGAGUUGUCUAUGUAACGUAUCAGCAAACUUUUGGUUUUCAUUUUCAUACAGACCCGCUCAGGAGCUGAACUCUUGUACCAUUUUUCUUGAAGGCAUGGCUCUGCUAGGCAAAAUUGUUUGACAAAAUCCAUCUCAGUGAUGUGCAAACAAUUUUUUUCAUAGCCUUUUCCCACUGUUUCUUCUUUGUGUCAAUAUGUCUGAAUUGCUUUUGCAGACUUUCCUGACUUCUUCUGCCUCACGCAGUCUUUGCAAGGAAUCCCAGAAUAAGUUUACUCCUGGUUUGAAAGUAAGAAUUAAAAUGUAGACAUGCAGUCUCCCUUCCAGUUAUGCUGCCUUCCCAAUGGAUUCCACUGUGCUUCAUGCUUCGUUUCUUGUCCUAUAUGUCCACAGAGAAUAGGAGCAUGAGCAGAUGACAUAUGUCACUUGUUUUGCUGAAGCUCUGCUCUUGCCAGCUGUGAGACUCUAAUGGGGGUUCCCUAGUUGACUUCAGAGGGGCAACUUUGAUUUCAAAAUGAAAGCUAUGAUUGCUGAUGCCUUGGCUUUUACCCACAGCACAUCCUGGUACAACUCAUUGCCACUGCAGCAAGAUGGGUCCUGGAGGAAAAGACCAACCUUUCAAGCAUUAGCAGGCACUGUGCCACCUCCUAGCAUUUUCAGUCAUCUUGAAGUCUACAUUACUUCUUCAAACUAGCUGCAACAUAUCCACAAUGAAAGUUAAGCUGUAAUUUUGGCCCUGGCCAUCCUGACAAGAGUGGCUCAAAAAAUGUACACUAAAUAAUGUUGAUGAAGAUGUGACUCAUCCUUGCAGACACCUAUGUAAGAGCCCAGGAUAGUCAGACACAGCAGCUUCUUGUCCCUUUGUCCCUUAGAGCAGUGUGAGAAGAUGGCACAGGACCUCUGGUUCUCUGGCUGGAAGCAAACAGGAAGGGCUGGAUAGAUGGAGGUAAUUACAGGGAGUGACAGCAAGUUUGUGAUUUUGUCUGACAAAGGGAUAAAUUUGAUUUCCUUUCUCCUUUAUGCAUAUUUGUUGGUUACUAUUUUGGCUUCAGCCCUGCUUUUCUGUUCCUUCCUUUCAUUCGUUCAUUCUACAUUUUCUUCUCUGCUUAUUUGGUACUGUGUGACUAACCAUCUCUGACUUUGUUUUUAGGCAUUAACGGCUUGGGCCUGAUUUUGAAAUGAAGCCUGAACAUACUUGGUAAUGUUUUCAAAAGCGUUAGAUGGUUUGAAAAAUCACCUGAGACUCUGACAGUCUUUAGUCACCCAAAUCCUAGGGGAAAUUUGGCCUUUUUAUGACAAAUUACAUGCUAAGAUAAAGCACCGUGUUAGUCUUCAUUGAAUUAUAAGAUAAAUAACAUGCUUUGG